AGAGUUUGAUCAUGGCUCAGAUUGAACGCUGGCGGCAUGCCUUACACAUGCAAGUCGAACGGCAGCAUGAUCUAGCUUGCUAGAUUGAUGGCGAGUGGCGAACGGGUGAGUAAUACAUCGGAACGUGCCCUGUAGUGGGGGAUAACUAGUCGAAAGAUUAGCUAAUACCGCAUACGACCUGAGGGUGAAAGUGGGGGACCGCAAGGCCUCAUGCUAUAGGAGCGGCCGAUGUCUGAUUAGCUAGUUGGCGAGGUAAAGGCUCACCAAGGCGACGAUCAGUAGCUGGUCUGAGAGGACGAUCAGCCACACUGGGACUGAGACACGGCCCAGACUCCUACGGGAGGCAGCAGUGGGGAAUUUUGGACAAUGGGCGAAAGCAUGAUCCAGCAAUGCCGCGUGUGUGAAGAAGGCCUUCGGGUUGUAAAGCACUUUUGUCCGGAAAGAAAUGGCUCUGGUUAAUACCUGGGGUCGAUGACGGUACCGGAAGAAUAAGGACCGGCUAACUACGUGCCAGCAGCCGCGGUAAUACGUAGGGUCCAAGCGUUAAUCGGAAUUACUGGGCGUAAAGCGUGCGCAGGCGGUUGUGCAAGACCGAUGUGAAAUCCCCGAGCUUAACUUGGGAAUUGCAUUGGUGACUGCACGGCUAGAGUGUGUCAGAGGGGGGUAGAAUUCCACGUGUAGCAGUGAAAUGCGUAGAGAUGUGGAGGAAUACCGAUGGCGAAGGCAGCCCCCUGGGAUAACACUGACGCUCAUGCACGAAAGC
rnacentral:rRNA from 1 species